CGUGCAAACUAUGCAAAUACACUCUAAGAACAAAAGGAGGAAAUGGGGUAUUGAGGUUACUCCUUUAGGGGAGGAACUGAUCUGCCACAA
rnacentral:lncRNA from 1 species